ACUGGGCGCGGUGGCGCAUGCCUGUAAUCCCAGUGGCUAGGGAAGCUGAGGCAGGAGGAUUGCGAGUUUAAAGCCAGUGUCAGCAAAAGAGAGGGGCUAAGCAACUCAGUAAGACCCUGUCUCUA
rnacentral:sRNA from 1 species